rnacentral:rRNA from 1 species
GACGAACGCUGGCGGCGUGCUUAACACAUGCAAGUCGAACGGAAAGGCCCUGCUUUUGUGGGGUGCUCGAGUGGCGAACGGGUGAGUAACACGUGAGUAACCUGCCCUUGACUUUGGGAUAACUUCAGGAAACUGGGGCUAAUACCGGAUAGGAGCUCCUGCUGCAUGGUGGGGGUUGGAAAGUUUCGGCGGUUGGGGAUGGACUCGCGGCUUAUCAGCUUGUUGGUGGGGUAGUGGCUUACCAAGGCUUUGACGGGUAGCCGGCCUGAGAGGGUGACCGGCCACAUUGGGACUGAGAUACGGCCCAGACUCCUACGGGAGGCAGCAGUGGGGAAUAUUGCACGAUGGGCGGAAGCCUGAUGCAGCAACGCCGCGUGCGGGAUGACGGCCUUCGGGUUGUAAACCGCUUUCGCCUGUGACGAAGCGUGAGUGACGGUAAUGGGUAGAGAAGCACCGGCUAACUACGUG